GUCAAAACACCAAUUCUCGUACGAUCACUGAAGUUAAGCAACGCCGAGCCUGGCCAGUACCUAGAUAGGUGACAGCUUGAGAAUACCAGGUGCUUCA